rnacentral:lncRNA from 1 species
UUUUUUCUAAAUCUUUAUUGAACAGUUAAAAAAUUAAAAAUAAUUUGUAUUAAAAAUAGUGUUGAGUAUACAAUAAUGCAUGAUACAUAUAAAUGGGAAAUAGUUGUAUGCUGUAACAACUGAACAUGUAAAUUGGGAUAUUGAGUCUUGGUGCUGGCUCAUUCAAGACACUUAAAAUCUCUCCAUAUCAUUGGGUUCAUUUGUGGAAAAGGUAACUUUACCUAAUAUUUAGCCAGUGUUGUAGUAUUCUGUCACUGUGUGUUUCUAGGUUAUAUCUCCGGUUAUAUUUGCGUACAAACAGAGAGUAUGUGUGUGAACAAGUGUUCAGCAGAGGAAGACCAUUUGUAAAGUUUCUGUAAGUGGUGUUGGCCUUAUAGCUUUUCCACAUUUAUCCUUCACUUCUUUUUUUUUCAGGCUGUGAUUGAAAAGGAAGCUGGGAUGGCAGAGGCAGAUUGUACUUCCUAUGCUGAGACACACGGAUGGACUCAUCCCAUACACAAUAGACAGGCAGAGGGCCCAGAAUGUGUAUGGAAAAGGGAGAGAGAAAGACCUGAAAUCCGAGAAUGUAUGGAUACAUUUGGCUGGCAAGAUGAAUAUGAGCAGAGUCUCUGAGAAACCAGCAAAGCAGUAUUUCAGGGAAAAAGAAAAGGUAAGUCUUGCUUUGAAAAAUUUAAAUGUUUGGCUCUUUGUUAUGUUGGAAUUUAUUUAAAGUAAAAGACAGUCUUAAGUGCUGGAAAUCAUGGAGGAGGCUGUACCUACAUUUCAGGUCACCAACUCUUAAAGGAGAAGACUGUUGUAGAAGUAGGUCAAACGUUACCAGUAGUAUUUGAAGUGGUUUUGUACGGCAGUAGUUUAUAAUUCCGUUAGUAGCUUUGCUCUGUUCAUACUUAGUGAGCUGUAUUUUAAUACUGAGAGGGAUGGAUUCCAUUGCUCUUAUUCAUGUUGAGUUGCAGUCAGUGGAACUAAUUGUUGAAUAAGGUAUGCUCAGCAUGAAGAUGGGUGAUGGAAUCUAGCCCAGAUGGAAAUACAUUUUAGACUACUGCUGUAUUAGAGAGCAGCCAUCUCAACAUGGACAAAUCUAGCACGUUGCUAAAAGUGCUUCAUCUCAUUCUUGGGGCAUGCUGCAGUAUUUUUACAGAUGAAUACAGGGGUUGUUUUAAAGA